rnacentral:rRNA from 1 species
AUGGUGCUACUCUUUACAAAUCUGAAUUUUUUUGCCAUACUUAAAUAUUGCUAUGAUAAUUAUGCUUCUAAUACCUGUGUUGAACCAUAUAUUGAGGACUACUCCGCUGUCCAAGAAGAGACUAAUAUUUUGCAGGAGUCUAUGGAAGAAGAAACUGAUGAAACUGUGAGCUCAUUGGAUGAAAAAGAUGAUGAGGAGAGCGAAGAACAAAAGGAGGAAGAGCGGAUUAGCUACCCAUGCCCACCUUCUAAUGAGAGUAACUCUUCAACUCAUACAUUGUUUAAUUUCCCUUCGUGCUUACCAAAGGAUGAUUGCUAUGAUGAUUGUUAUGAUCCCAUUGAUUCUCUUGAAAUAUCCCUUUUUGACGAACUUGAUGCUUGCUCUGCUUGUGGCUAA